GUGUCAGCAGCCGCGGUAAUACGGAGGGUGCAAGCGUUAUCCGGAUUCACUGGGUUUAAAGGGUGCGUAGGUGGGCAGGUAAGUCAGUGGUGAAAUCCUGUAGCUUAACUACAGAACUGCCAUUGAUACUAUCUGUCUUGAAUACCCUGGAGGUGAGCGGAAUAUGUCAUGUAGCGGUGAAAUGCUUAGAUAUGACAUAGAACACCCAUUGCGAAGGCAGCUCACUACGGGAAUAUUGACACUGAGGCACGAAAGCGUGGGGAUCAAACAGGAUUAGAAACCCGGGUAGUCC
rnacentral:rRNA from 1 species